rnacentral:rRNA from 1 species
UACGUAGGGGCCUAGCGUUGUCCGGAUUUAUUGGGCGUAAAGAGCUCGUAGGCGGUUCGGUAAGUCAGGUGUGAAAUCUCCACGCUCAACGUGGAGGCGCCACCUGAAACUGCCGUGACUCGAGUCCGGUAGGGGAGAGUGGAAUUCCCGGUGUAGCGGUGAAAUGCGCAGAUAUCAGGAGGAACACCAACGGCGAAGGCAGCUCGCUGGGACGGUACUGACGCUAAGGCGCGAAAGCGUGGGGAGCGAACAGG